UCGCAGCAGGCGCGAAAACUCCGCAAUGCGCGAAAGCGUGACGGGGGGACCCCAAGUGCCGCUGGUCUUUUGAUCGGCGGCUUUUCGGGAGUGUAAGAAGCUCCCGGAAUAAGGGCUGGGUAAGUCUGGUGCCAGCCGCCGCGGUAAUACCAGCAGCCCAAGUGGUGGUCGCGAUUAUUGGGCCUAAAGCGCUCGUAGCCGGGUCAGCAAGUCCCUUGUGAAAUCGGGCGGCCCAACCGUUCGGCUUGCAAGGGAUACUGCUGGCCUAGAGGCCGGGAGACGUCUGAGGUACUCCGGGGGUAGCGGUGAAAUGCUCUGAUCCUCGGGGGACCACCAGUGGCGAAGGCGUCAGACGAGAACGGGCCUGACGGUGAGGGGCGAAGGCUAGGGGCGCGAACGGGAUUAGAUACCCGGGUAGUCC
rnacentral:rRNA from 1 species